rnacentral:rRNA from 1 species
GUAAGGAAUAUUGGUCAAUGGGCGCAAGCCUGAACCAGCCAUGCCGCGUGCAGGAAGACGGCCCUAUGGGUUGUAAACUGCUUUUGUACCGGAAUAAACCUCUUUACGUGUAAAGAGUUGAAUGUACGGUAAGAAUAAGGAUCGGCUAACUCCGUGCCAGCAGCCGCGGUAAUACGGAGGAUCCGAGCGUUAUCCGGAUUUAUUGGGUUUAAAGGGUGCGUAGGUGGCCUGGUAAGUCAGGGGUGAAAGACGGUAGCUUAACUAUCGCAGUGCCUUUGAUACUGCCGGGCUUGAAUACAGGUGAAGUGGGCGGAAUGUGACAAGUAGCGGUGAAAUGCAUAGAUAUGUCACAGAACACCGAUUGCGAAGGCAGCUCACUAAAGUGUGAUUGACACUGAGGCACGAAAGCGUGGGGAUCAAACAGG